AGAGUUUGAUCCUGGCUCAGAACGAACGCUGGCGGCGUGCCUAACACAUGCAAGUCGUGCGAGAAAAGGGGGGCAACUCCCUGAGUACAGCGGCGCACGGGUGAGUAACACGUAGGUAACCUACCCUCGAGCCUGGGAUAACCUACCGAAAGGUGGGCUAAUACCGGAUGUGACCACGGGAGUUUCGGCUCCUGAGGUAAAAGAUGGCCUCUGCUUGCAAGCUAUCACUCGUGGAGGGGCCUGCGCGCCAUUAGCUAGUUGGCGGGGUAAUGGCCCACCAAGGCUCUGAUGGCUAGCUGGUCUGAGAGGAUGACCAGCCACACUGGGACUGAAACACGGCCCAGACUCCUACGGGAGGCAGCAGUGGGGGAUAUUGCGCAAUGGGCGAAAGCCUGACGCAGCGACGCCGCGUGGGUGAUGAAGGCCUUCGGGUCGUAAAGCCCUGUCGAGGGGGACGAACCGGCCGCGACCUAAUACGUCGCGACCCUGACGGUACCCCUAAAGGAAGCACCGGCUAACUCCGUGCCAGCAGCCGCGGUAAUACGGAGGGUGCGAGCGUUGUUCGGAAUCACUGGGCGUAAAGCGCGUGUAGGCGGCCUGCUAAGUCUGAUGUGAAAGCCCGAGGCUCACCCUCGGAAGUGCAUUGGAAACUGGCAGACUGGAGUCCCGGAGAGGAGGGUGGAAUUCCUGGUGUAGCGGUGAAAUGCGUAGAUAUCAGGAGGAACACCGGUGGCGAAGGCGGCCCUCUGGACGGUGACUGACGCUGAGACGCGAAAGCGUGGGGAGCAAACAGGAUUAGAUACCCUAGUAGUCC
rnacentral:rRNA from 1 species